GUAGUUGGAUAUUUGUUGGAGAAUAUUGGUCCACCCGUAGCGGUCGGCACUCGGUAUAUCUCCGACAUCUCUUUGGUUAACUACGUUCACUUCAUUGUGCGCGUAGAUGAGCCAAAACUUUUACUUUGAGGAAAUGAGAGUGUUUCAAGCAGGCCUAGUACAUGAAUACGUUAGCAUGGAAUAAUAGCAUAGGACCUUGUGUCGUAUCUGUUGGUUGACGACACCUGGUAAUAAAAAUAGGGAUAGUUGGGGGCAUUCGUAUUGCAUAGUCAGAGGUGAAAUUCUUAGAUUUGUGCAAGACGGACUACUGCGAAAGCAUUUGCCAAGGAUGUUUUUAUUAAUCAAGAACGAAAGUUAGGGGAUCGAAGACGAUCCAGAUACCGUCGUAGUCUUAACCAUAAACUAUGCC
rnacentral:rRNA from 1 species